rnacentral:rRNA from 1 species
UACGUAGGCAGCAAGCGUUGUUCGGAGUUACUGGGCGUAAAGGGUGUGUAGGCGGUCCCUUAAGUUUGCUGUGAAAUCUCCCGGCUUAACCGGGAGGGUGCGGUGAAUACUGAGGGACUAGAGUACGGGAGAGGAAAGUGGAAUUCCUGGUGUAGCGGUGAAAUGCGUAGAUAUCAGGAGGAACACCGGUGGUGUAGACGGCUUUCUGGACCGUAACUGACGCUGAGACACGAAAGCGUGGGUAGCAAACAGG